rnacentral:rRNA from 1 species
UAGGGAAUCUUCCGCAAUGGGCGAAAGCCUGGCGGAGCAAUGCCGCGUGAGUGAAGAAGGCCUUCGGGUCGUAAAACUCUGUUAUAAGAGAAGAACAAAUUGUAGAGUAACUGCUACAGUCUUGACGGUAUCUUAUCAGAAAGCCACGGCUAACUACGUGCCAGCAGCCGCGGUAAUACGUAGGUGGCAAGCGUUGUCCGGAUUUAUUGGGCGUAAAGGGAGCGCAGGUGGUUUCUUAAGUCUGAUGUCAAAGCCCACGGCUUAACCGUGGAGGGUCAUUGGAAACUGGGAAACUUGAGUACAGAAGAGGAAUGUGGAACUCCAUGUGUAGCGGUGGAAUGCGUAGAUAUAUGGAAGAACACCAGUGGCGAAGGCGACAUUCUGGUCUGUUACUGACACUGAGGCUCGAAAGCGUGGGAGCAAACAGG